GGAUCUGAUAAAGAGCGGAUCGGGUUGCGGGUGCUACGAUCGCCCCUCCUCCGCCGCCGCCUCCGCCGCUCGCCGGAGCUCCGCCGCUCGCCGGAGAUCGUAUACCCAGAAUGUCAGAACCGCCAAUAGCAGCUGCAGACGUGGCCGCUGGCACCACUACUGCAGUGGUACAGCCGCUGGCAGCUCACAACCCGCGAGCAAGAAAGCUCCGAUCUUUGGUGUGGAACGACUUCACAAAGGAGCGCCGGGCUGAUGGCAGCUUUGUUGCCAUCUGCAACCACUGCAAGAAGCAACUAACAGCGAGCAGCCGCAGCGGCACCACUCACCUCAAGAACCACCUGGGCAUCUGCCUCUCCACCAAGCGCACGCUCAAGCGCAAGAAGCUUGUCGUCCGCCGUCUCGUCCUCAAGUCCGUUGAUGCCAAAUCCGAUGCUGGGCCUGCCGCCGCCGACUCCCACUUUGAUCAAGAAGUUAGUCGCCAUGAUCUUGCUCGCAUGGUCGUUCAACAUGGCUACCCUUUCUCCAUCGUCAAUGAUGCCGGAUUUAGAAUGUUUGUUAAAAACCUCCAACCACAGUUCAAGAUAUUGUCCUACGAUGAGGUGAAGGCCGAUUGCAUGAGAAUAUAUGAAAUUGCAAGAAUCAGGUUGCAUGAGGUGCUUAACAAAAUUCCCUGCCGGGUGAGCCUCUCGAUUGAUACGUGGCAAUCCAACAGGGGGGAAGAAUUCUUGUGCCUGACAUGCCAUUACAUUGAUGAUGAGUGGAAGGUUAAGAAGAAGAUUCUCAACUUCCUACACAUCGAUGCUCCCUCUAUGACGUCAGAAGAGAUUGGCAGAAUGGUUCUGGAGAAGUUGCACGAGUGGGGCAUCAAUAAGAAGUUGGCGAGCAUCGUAUUGGAUAACUGUAGUAAUGGUGAAGCGGUUGGUAAAGAGCUUCUUGGAUCACUUCGGACAACAGGCUUCCUCCUUUUGAAUGGGGAUCUGUUGCAAGCCCAUGUUUGUGCACAUAUGUUGAAUCUCAUGGUACAGGAUAGCUUAGAAAUGGCAUCCGAAAUAGUUAACAAUGUCCGGGCGACCAUGCAUUAUGUGAAGUCUUCAGAAGAAACAUUUGCUAAAUUUCAGAAGGCAGCGAAACAGCAGAAGCCACUAGUGCUUGACUCUCCAAAUAAUUGGGCUUCCAUAUACUUAAUGCUCGACUCUGCGUGCCAAUAUGAAGCUGCAUUCUUGCAGUUGGCAGAAUGGGAUGCGGAGUACCCAGGCUUUCUGGCAUCGAAGGAUUGGGCUGAUGUCAAAGCCCUAACGGAGAUUCUCGAAGUUCUUUACCACACUAUGGAGAAAUUCCCAGCAGUAGAAAAGCCGACUAGUAAUCUUUAUUUCAAUGAGAUUUGUGGUAUCCAUUUGCUUCUGAAAACAUGGCGCACCAGUUCGUCUCCUGUUGUUGCGUCGGUCGCUUCGCAGAUGCUCAAGAAGUUUGAACAGUAUUGGGACUCCACCGGAAUGGUGAUGGCAUUUGCAUCUAUAUUAGAUCCUCGCUACAAGAUGAAGUCGGUUGAGUACUUCUUUAAGCUUAUUUAUAAUGAGCAAUAUGAAGUCAAGACAAAGAUCGAGAGUGUUCAUAAAAGUUUUAACAGCCUAUACAAUGAAUAUGCUGUUAGAUUAGCCAGCUCGUCAAAAAAUCAAGCCUUCCUCUGCUAUGUCGGGAACAGUAGUGGUUGCACCAUGAGUUCUAAUUAUGAAAAUGGGGGAGAAUCGAAGACCAUUUCUAGCAUUACUCUUUCUGAUGCUCAACGUGGGCUGGAUCAGUACCUUCAGGAAACAUCGUCUGGGCAACCGAUGAAAUCUGAUUUGGAUAUGUAUUUGGAGGAAGCCGUGUACCGCCCAAAAGAAGGCCUUCCAGAUAAUUUUGAUAUUUUGGGAUGGUGGAAAUCCUUUGCCGCAAAAUAUCCAGUCCUUUCUUUGAUGGCCCGUGAUAUUUUGGCGAUUCCUGUGUCAAUUUUACCAUUGGAUAGUGAAGCUACAACUCUCAACGACUAUUUCAGUGCCAUGGACCCUGUGACCAUAGAGGGCUUGGUAUGUGCACAAGAUUGGCUGCGAGAGGAAAUUGAAGCUACUCACGUGGAUGGUAAUGCUGAUCAGAGUAUGGUACCUUCAAAUGGAAAUGAAUAUUCUUCAUCACCAAAAUAGGAAAUCUGAUCGAGGUUUAUUGCCAUUUUCUAUUAAUCAGUAUUUGUCCCCAUAUAUCCUUCAUAGACUAGGGCUGAGUCUGAAAAAACCGUUCUCGGUAAAUGAUCAGCAUGAGAUGGAACAAGUGUAUUUCUAAUUUUUUUACUCUCCUAGUACUCUGUCUUGUAAAUUACAUUUUUUCUUUCUUUCUUUUUUCUUUUCUUUUCUUUCCUUUUUUUUUUUUUUUUUCCCCAAGAACAAAUACGUAUGUAAAAUCAUGUGUCAAGUGUAAUUUGGUAUUCUUCUGGAAUUACCUGCUUGGACAAUGUGGAAUAUAUUGAUUGAAACUGCUACAUGUGGAUAACAAGUGGUGUGAGGCAACAAGAAGCUAAAAUGAA